rnacentral:rRNA from 1 species
CAGCCGCCGCGGUAAUACGAAGGGGGCUAGCGUUGUUCGGAUUUACUGGGCGUAAAGCGCACGUAGGCGGAUCGAUCAGUCAGGGGUGAAAUCCCAGAGCUCAACUCUGGAGCUGCCUUUGAUACUGUCGAUCUGGAAUAUGGAAGAGGUGAGUGGAAUUCCGAGUGUAGAGGUGAAAUUCGUAGAUAUUCGGAGGAACACCAGUGGCGAAGGCGGCUCACUGGUCCAUUACUGACGCUGAGGUGCGAAAGCGUGGGGAGCAAACAGGAUUAGAUACCCGAGUAGUCCCUGUCUCUUAUAA